GCAGAUUGCCCGAGCGGCCAAUGGGAGCGGACUGUAAAUCCGUCGGCUUAUGCCUACGUAGGUUCGAAUCCUACAUCUGCCACACCA
rnacentral:tRNA from 1 species